UAACGCGUGGGUAACCUGCCCUUUUGUGGGGAACAACUUCGAGAAAUCGGAGCUAAUACCGCAUAAUAAUAGAGGAUCGCAUGAUUCUUUAAGGAAAGAUGGCCUCUGAAGAUGCUAUCGCAAAGGGAUGGACCCGCGUCUGAUUAGCUAGUUGGAAGGGUAACGGCCUACCAAGGCAACGAUCAGUAGCCGGCCUGAGAGGGUGAACGGCCACAUUGGGACUGAGACACGGCCCAAACUCCUACGGGAGGCAGCAGUGGGGAAUCUUCCGCAAUGGGCGAAAGCCUGACGGAGCAAUGCCGCGUGAGUGAAGAAGGCCUUCGGGUUGUAAAACUCUGUCCUUAUCGAAGAGAGGUAGGUAUGUGAAUAAUGUACCUAUAGGACGGUAGAUAAGGAGGAAGCCCCGGCUAACUACGUGCCAGCAGCCGCGGUAAUACGUAGGGGGCGAGCGUUGUCCGGAAUCACUGGGCGUAAAGGGCGCGUAGGCGGUUUAAUAAGUCAGUGGUGAAAACUGAGGGCUCAACCCUCAGCCUGCCACUGAUACUGUUAGACUUGAGUAUGGAAGAGGAGAAUGGAAUUCCUAGUGUAGCGGUGAAAUGCGUAGAUAUUAGGAGGAACACCAGUGGCGAAGGCGAUUCUCUGGGCCAAGACUGACGCUGAGGCGCGAAAGCGUGGGGAGCAAACAGGAUUAGAUACCCUGGUAGU
rnacentral:rRNA from 1 species